rnacentral:rRNA from 1 species
AGCAGUAGCCGCGGUAAUACGUAGGUGGCAAGCGUUGUCCGGAAUUAUUGGGCGUAAAGGGCUCGCAGGCGGUUUCUUAAGUCUGAUGUGAAAGCCCCCGGCUCAACCGGGGAGGGUCAUUGGAAACUGGGAAACUUGAGUGCAGAAGAGGAGAGUGGAAUUCCACGUGUAGCGGUGAAAUGCGUAGAGAUGUGGAGGAACACCAGUGGCGAAGGCGACUCUCUGGUCUGUAACUGACGCUGAGGAGCGAAAGCGUGGGGAGCGAACAGGAUUAGAUACCCGAGUAGUCCCUGUCUCUUAUAC